CAAGAUAUAGCUUAACACAAAGCAUCCGGCCUACACCCGGAAGAUCUCAACACCACUUGACUAUCUUGA
rnacentral:tRNA from 1 species